rnacentral:rRNA from 1 species
UAGGGAAUCUUCCACAAUGGACGCAAGUCUGAUGGAGCAACGCCGCGUGAGUGAAGAAGGCUUUCGGGUCGUAAAACUCUGUUAUUGAAGAAGAACGUGUGUGACAGUAACUGGUCAUGCAGUGACGGUAUUCAAUCAGAAAGUCACGGCUAACUACGUGCCAGCAGCCGCGGUAAUACGUAGGUGCAAGCGUUGUCCGGAUUUAUUGGGCGUAAAGCGAGUGCAGGC